rnacentral:misc_RNA from 1 species
GACUUGUGAUGCAUGUUGGCGUCCUGCCUGUGAUGGGUGGGGUUGCGGCUGCUGUUGGGUUGUGGGGUAUCACGUGUGUGGUGGCCUGUGCGGUGCUGUGUUGCGUGUGUGCGUGCGGGGGUGGGCGUGUGGUGGUUGUUAGAAAACUGAUGCAUGUAUGCAACUUUAUUGAUCGAUGUGUGUGUUCGACCUGCCGUCGUUUGUGGAUGUUUGUUGAGUGCGAUGGAUGCCUUGGUUGCCACAACCAACCAAUGACGUUUUUUCCUGCCAGCUAUCAUGCCUAGUUGGUUGGCGAGCUAUCUGCGGGCCGUGUGUGACCGAGGGGACCUGCCUGGUCCGUACUAAUGUCCGGUCGCCGUGCCCGGCCUGAAUGUGGGUGGGGGUGGUAGCGCACGCAAGUAAAUCAUCUUUCUUCCCGCCCGAAGAAAAAAAAAAUGUGUUUCCUUGAGUGACUGCCAGCGAUCAAACAAACGCGGCGAACAAAAAAAGUAAAAAACGAUACCCAAAGUAGCGGCGAGCGAACACACAAAACAAUCUUUUCGUUUUCCGU